rnacentral:lncRNA from 1 species
GUUUAGUUUAUUGGAUUGGUGAGAAGCGGUGGUCGAUUGUAAGCACAUCUGCGUUGAUUAGAGAAUGACAUGCCUGGCGAUUGCAUACAUACCAAAUUCCAGGGAAAAUGGCAUCCUUCGUUGAUAAUUGCAAGUGGCCAUGUGCAUUUUAGUUUUAUUCUAAAAUGAUCUGAGAUAGACCAAAAUGAUCCACAGCUGACCAAAGUGACGACGCCACUGUUGCUCCUACAGACGACAGUAUAACAGUCACAUCUCAAUACACAUGGAAAGGAGGAGGGAUGGGAAAGAGUCACAAAGGCCCUGAAUGACAAGGUUAGGAAGCAAAUAGUCAAGCUGGAAUAAAGAGGCUGUGCUGACAUGGACACAUACGUCUUGACAAAUUUCAAUGUUUUAAUAAAACUUCGAUUAAGUACUUAGUUUUGUUACAGUUAUCCUUAGGUAGGUGAAGUAAAAGUGAAAUAUAUACUUUUGUUCUUCUGUAAUUUGAAUAAUUAUGCAGUCACAAAGCACAAUGCAAAGUUUGUACACUUUUGUUAGCUUACCUGAGCCAAAGGCUCAUGGUGAGCUUUUGUGACCGCUUAAUGUCCGUUGUCAGUUGUCCAGUUGUGUGUCGUGCGUCCGUCAACAUUUCAGUGGAAUACUGCUGGUAUGCCACUGGUAUUCCACUGAAAGAUCAGGUAUGCCACUGGUAUUCCACUGAAAUAUCAGGGGGUAUUUCAGUGAAGUACUACCGGUAUGCCAGUGGCAUUUCACUGUUAUACCAGUGGUAAACUUUUAGUGGAAUCCAGUGAAAUCUACCACUGAUAUACCAUUUAAAUACCAAUGGAAUACCUUCAUGAAGAGUUCAUGAAGACAAGCAUUCAAUGUUUUAUGAAGUUCGAAAUGAAUAUUUCUUCAUGAAUUGUUCAUGAAGAAGAAGUGAACAGAAAAUGGGACUUUAGAUUUGUGAACAAAAAAAAUCAUGAUUUCUUCAUUAAAGUUGCUUAAGAAUUUUUCUGCAUGAAGUAUUCAUGAAGGGACAGUUUCUUGAAUUUAUUAAGAGUUAUUCUGCAUGAAGACAUCAUGAAAUCUUCAUGCUUUUUUUUCAUUAGGACAAACUGCUUGAUUUUAGGAAUUUAUUAUGAAGUCUCAACUUCAUAAAAAAUUCAUGAAUCUGCAUUUUAUGAAUUUUUUAUGAAUAUGUCCCAUUUUCUGUUCACUUCUUCUUCAUGAAGAUUUCAUGAAGUUCCUUCUUGAAGACUUCAUGCAUAUUUCAUGAAGACUUCAUGAAGAAUAACUAAACAUUUCG